GUCUUUAUGAAGUUAUAUCAAGUCUAACCUGCCCACUGAAUUUUUUUAACGGCCGCGGUUUAAUCGUGCAAAGGUAGCAUAAUCAUUAGUAUUUUAAUUGAAGGCUAGAAUGAAAGGUUGGACAAAAAAUUAUCUGUCUUUUUAUUAAAUAUUGAAUUUUACUUUUAAGUGAAAAGGCUUAAAUAAUUUUAAGGGACGAUAAGACCCUAUAAAUCUUUAUAUAAACUAUUUUAUAAUUUUAACUUAUUAGUAAAUAAAAUAUAAAAAAGAUAUAUUAUGUUGGGGCAACAUUAAUAUAUUAAGAUUAACUGUUAAAUAAUAAAACCAAAAAUUUUUGAUGUUAAUAGAUCCUUUUUAAAGAUUAAAAAAUUAAGUUACUUUAGGGAUAACAGCGUAAUUUUUAUUGAGAGCCCUAAUCGAAAUAGAAGUUUACGACCUCGAUGUUGAAUUAAAAUUUCUUUAUAAUGCAGAAGUUAUAAAAGUAAGUCUGUUCGACUUUUAAAAUUUU
rnacentral:rRNA from 1 species